rnacentral:rRNA from 1 species
UACGAGGGGUCCAAGCGUUGUUCGGAAUCAUUGGGCGUAAAGCGUGCGUAGGUGGUUUGUUAAGUCUGUUGUGAAAGCCCCGGGCUCAACCUGGGAAUGGCAAUGGAUACUGGCAGGCUAGAGUGCGGUAGAGGGUAGUGGAAUUCCCGGUGUAGCGGUGAAAUGCGUAGAGAUCGGGAGGAACACCAGUGGCGAAGGCGGCUACCUGGACCAGCACUGACACUGAGGCACGAAAGCGUGGGGAGCAAACAGG